rnacentral:rRNA from 1 species
AUUGAACGCUGGCGGCAGGCUUAACACAUGCAAGUCGAACGAGUGGCGGACGGGUGAGUAAUGCUUGGGAAUCUAGCUUAUGGAGGGGGAUAACUACGGGAAACUGUAGCUAAUACCGCGUACCAUAGGAUGAACCCAUAUGGGAUUAGCUAGUAGGUGGGGUAAAGGCUCACCUAGGCGACGAUCUCUAGCUGGUCUGAGAGGAUGAUCGGCCACACUGGAAGUGGGACACGGCCCAGACGCCUACGGGAGGCAGCAGUGGGGAAUAGUGAACAAUGGGCGCAAGCCUGAUGCAGCCAUGCCGCGUGUAUGAAGAAGGCCUUAGGGUUGUAAAGUACUUUCAGCGGGGAGGCGUUACCCGCAGAAGAAGCACCGGCUAACUCCGUGCCAGCAGCCGCGGUAUUC